rnacentral:misc_RNA from 1 species
AAAAAAAAAAGGAAAAAGGUAUGAUUUCGAAAGGUUAGAAACUGAGAUGCAACUAAGAAAAGAUGAUUUUGUUCAUAAAAAAUGGGGGUAAAGGGAGAGGAAGGGAAACAGGAAAAAGGAUGAAAAACAUGCAAUGGAGAAUACGCAGAAAUGCUAUGCCACAUUGAUAGGAAAGCCAACAUAACCUUGUUUAAAGCUUCAGCGGGGAUGGGGGGAACGAAAAAAGCUUGUUCAAAGAGCAACUGCUGCCUAAAAUGGUGUUGUCAAAUUUACUAAAACAUUGAUAUCUCCAACUCAAUAGAGGUGCAUCCCACCAUCCUAACGUAAACAGGACUUAUUUGGUUUAACUAUCGGAACUAAUAACUAAUAACUAUUUCUAUUAACUGAUGGCUAAUGACAGAUAGUAGCUAAUUUAUUUCAAGUUUUUGGUAAAUUUUAUCUAAUUGUUGCUAUUAAUAUAUAAAAUGACAAAUAAGGGUCAUAUAUAUAUAUACACCUUCCCAUAGACCCAGCAUUGAAGAAGUGCAAGUUGUAUACAAGAGGCAAUCUAAAAAAUUCAUUUAGGAAAUAAAUUAAUUGGAGAUAAAAUUAAUGAAGGUCAUUUUUGUCAAAUAAAAAAAAAAAUUACAUAACGGUUCAUGACCAACUCCUAUUUUAGAGCUGAUGAAAAUUAGAACUAUUAGGAUAUACAUCAGUUGUCUAUCAGCCAUCAUUAUGUUUUCAAAUGUUUACCAAACAUUUUGGUUCAGUUGUAUGAAUGUCUCUCAGCUAUUAGUUGCAUUGAAUAGCCAAAACAAACACCCUCAUAGUAUCAUAACCUGCAGUUUAAAGAGGUUGACCGUCCAUUGAUUUCUCAUUCCCCCAAAAUUCAAGGCAAGGACACAUCUAAAGAACACAUAUUAGUAGUUUGGCACCAAGCGCAAGCACCAAACUUAGAAGCUUGCUGUGUAAUUUCAUAGAGAUAAGACUCUUUUUGGGGGGGAAAAUAAAUUAUAAAUACAUGACCAAGGAUUCGUAUUUGACACCAGAAUGGACAUUAGAAUAUUUCUCUGAAACAAUUAAUCUUGAUCAACUACCAGUUGCACCACCUUGGAGAGAGAGCACAUGCUCAGAUACUGUCAAGGCACUGGCAACCCUAAUCCAAAAUUUAUGAGAAAGAAAAUAGCAGUGGGAUAGUCUAAUUGAUCAAGUGAACUCCAUUUAUCCAGGAAGAGAAUGACUAGGAAUCUAUAACCUUCCCAACUGCUAACGUGAUUGUAGACCUUUACCUAAAGAAGUAAUAAAGAAUGUGCAAGAAACAGGAGUAAAUGGAUAACAUACCAUU